UUAAUGUGUUGUUGAAUUCCAUUUGCAAGUAUUUUGUUGAGUGUUCUUGCAUCUAUAUUUAUCAGUGAUAUUGGCCUAUUGUUUUCUUUUGUUGUUGUUGUGACCUUGUCUGGUUUUGGUAUCAGGGUAAUGCUGGCCUCCUAGAAUGAGUCUGGAAGUAUUCUCACCUCUUAAAUUUGUUGAAAUAGUUUGAGAAUAAUUGGUAUUAGUUCUUCAUUAAAUUGUUGGUAGAGUUCAGCCGUGAAUUCAUCAUGUCCUGGGAUUUUCUUCAAUUAAAGAGUUUUUACUACUGUUUUGAUCUCAUUACCUAUUAUUGGUAUGGUCAGGUUCUUUUGUAUCUUCAUGGUUCAACUUUGGUAGUUGUAUGUGCCCAGGAAUUUAUCCUUUUCUUCUAAGUUUUCCAAUUUAUUGGCAUAUAUUUGUCCAUAGUAGUCUCUAAUGAUCUAAUUUAAAAAUUCUUUGAACUGAACAAUAAUAGUAACACAACCUAUCAAAACCUCUGGGAUACCGCAAAAGUGAUGCUAAGAGGAAAGUUCAUAGCAUUAAAUGCCUACAUCAAAAAGUCUGA
rnacentral:lncRNA from 1 species